AACGAACGCUGGCGGCAUGCCUAACACAUGCAAGUCGAACGAGACCUUCGGGUCUAGUGGCGCACGGGUGCGUAACGCGUGGGAAUCUGCCCUUCGGUUCGGAACAACAGUUAGAAAUGACUGCUAAUACCGGAUAAUGACGUAAGUCCAAAGAUUUAUCGCCGAAGGAUGAGCCCGCGUAAGAUUAGGUAGUUGGUGGGGGUAAUGGCCUACCAAGCCGACGAUCUUUAGCUGGUCUGAGAGGAUGAUCAGCCACACUGGGACUGAGACACGGCCCAGACUCCUACGGGAGGCAGGCAGUGGGGGAAUAUUGGACAAUGGGCGAAUGCCUGAUCCAGCAAUGCCGCGUGAGUGAUGAAGGCCUUAGGGUUGUAAAGCUCUUUUACCAGGGGUGAUAAUGACAGUACCUGGAGAAUAAGCUCCGGCUAACUCCGUGCCAGCAGCCG
rnacentral:rRNA from 1 species